ACGUAUGGGGCGAGCGUUGUUCGGAAUUAUUGGGCGUAAAGGGCGUCUAGGCGGGGAAUUAAGUUAGGUGUGAAAGCCUCGGGCUCAACCCGAGAACUGCAUCUAAAACUGAUUCUCUUGAGUUCGGGAGAGGAGAGCGGAAUUCCAGGUGUAGCGGUGAAAUGCGUAGAUAUCUGGAAGAACACCAGUGGCGAAGGCGGCUCUCUGGCCUAGGACUGACGCUGAAGCGCGAAAGCGUGGGGAGCGAACAG
rnacentral:rRNA from 1 species